GUGGGGAAUUUUGGACAAUGGGCGCAAGCCUGAUCCAGCAAUGCCGCGUGCAGGAAGAAGGCCUUCGGGUUGUAAACUGCUUUUGUACGGAACGAAACGGUCCUGGUUAAUACCUGGGGCUAAUGACGGUACCGUAAGAAUAAGCACCGGCUAACUACGUGCCAGCAGCCGCGGUAAUACGUAGGGUGCAAGCGUUAAUCGGAAUUACUGGGCGUAAAGCGUGCGCAGGCGGUGAUGUAAGAGAGAUGUGAAAGCCCCGGGCUCAACCUGGGAACUGCAUUGGUGACUGCAUUGCUGGAGUGCGGCAGAGGGGGAUGGAAUUCCGCGUGUAGCAGUGAAAUGCGUAGAUAUGCGGAGGAACACCGAUGGCGAAGGCAAUCCCCUGGGCCUGCACUGACGCUCAUGCACGAAAGCGUGGGGAGCAAACAGGAUUAGAAACCCGUGUAGUCC
rnacentral:rRNA from 1 species